rnacentral:sRNA from 1 species
AUUCUGCCCAUGCGGGGAAGGAUGAGAAGCUUCGACCAAGGUUCGACUCGAGCGCCAGCGAGAGAGCGUUGCCGCAGGCAACGACCCGAAGCGCGCAGCGCUGAGUAAUCCUUCCCCCACCACCA